rnacentral:rRNA from 1 species
GACGAACGCUGGCGGCGCGCCUAACACAUGCAAGUCGAACGAGAGAUGAGGAGCUUGCUCUUCAAAUCGAGUGGCGAACGGGUGAGUAACGCGUGAGGAACCUGCCUCAAAGAGGGGGACAACAGUUGGAAACGACUGCUAAUACCGCAUAAGCCCACAGCUCGGCAUCGAGCAGAGGGAAAAGGAGCAAUCCGCUUUGAGAUGGCCUCGCGUCCGAUUAGCUAGUUGGUGAGGUAACGGCCCACCAAGGCGACGAUCGGUAGCCGGACUGAGAGGUUGAACGGCCACAUUGGAACUGAGAAACGGUCCAGACUCCUACGGGAGGCAGCAGUGGGGAAUAUUGCACAAUGGGGGAAACCCUGAUGCAGCAACGCCGCGUGAAGGAAGACGGUUUUCGGAUUGUAAACUUCUGUUCUUAGUGAAGAAUAAUGACGGUAGCUAAGGAGCAAGCCACGGCUAACUACGUG